rnacentral:tRNA from 1 species
GGGCCAUUACCUCAGGUGGUUAAAGCGCACCCCUGAUAAGGGUGAGGUCCCUGGUUCAAGUCCAGAAGGGCCC